AAAAACGUCGUCUGAUUAAGCGAAGAACUACUGCAACAAGGCUUCAAAGGAACCUAAAGACGUUGCACAGGAUGUGGAUUUAUAUUUUGAUCAUCUUCUUGUCUGAAGAAUGGCCCAUAUGUCAAGGAACUAACUCAACCAACUCUGUGAUCUCAAAUACAACCACUCCAAAUGUGAAAGUUUAUG